rnacentral:hammerhead_ribozyme from 1 species
AUCUAGCUGACGAGUCCCAGAAAGGACGAAAUGCGCACCCUGGAG